UUGCAGAUCAACAGACGAGCCGAUUCAAUCAGGAAAAGCUUUAGAAUUGGAAUCGAGAAGAAAAAGCAGCUGAUUUUGGGCAAAUUCUUCCUCAUGCUUACAAACUAAUGACUGAUGUGUUUGGAAAUCAUGUCAUUCAGAAGUUUUUGAAUACGGCAACCCAUCACGGAGAAACGAACUCGCCGAUCAACUCAUGGGACAGAUAGUACCACUUUGUCUGCCGUUGUACGGAUGUGAAGUGAUACAAAAGGUUCUUCAUAUCAUAAAACCUGAUCAGAGAGUUCGUUUAGCAAGUGAACUUGACGGGCAGGUCUUGAGAUGUGUUUGAAACCAAAACGGAAACCAUGUGAUCCAGAAAGGCAUACAUAAUAUCCCAGCAGACUGAGUCAGAUUCAUGUUUAACUGCUUUCCUUGGUCAAGUUUCCAUGCUCUCUAUCCAUCCUUAUGGCAGCCAUGUCAUACCGGUAUAUAGAGGCAUCUGGAGCGUUUUCCAAAUGAGCAUCAGUCUCAGUUCAUUACCGAGGAGAUACAUGGAAUCAGUAUGCAUCCUUUCCAAGGACCAAUAUGGAAUAAACAAAAUCCCACAGUUUGUUAACCACUUAACACGUAAAACCAAUGUUCCUAUUUGGAUAAUGUCUUGGGAGAAGUUUAAAGCUUUGUGCUAAGACUAUUGAGAAACUCUCUUCAAUUUAGGUGUGUUAAGACUAUUUGGUUCCUAUUUGGACAAUGUUUAUCUUCUUGAACUUUACGUGGUUGCUGUUUUGUACGAGAUGAUUUAUGUUCCUGGUUGAAUAAAAUGCUGUGCUGGAGCCAUCUAUCCAAAGAGGACAUGAUCGGUCAUGCUAGGAUGGGGAUAUGAAAGAUUCUUUCUUUUGGAAUUCCAGUCAUUAUUGACGGAAUAAUUGAAUUUGUUUUGUCUAAUACAAAUUUUUUUCUAUUCUUUUAAUAUUAGAACCGAUUCUAAU